rnacentral:rRNA from 1 species
UACGUAGGGGGCAAGCGUUAUCCGGAUUUACUGGGUGUAAAGGGAGCGUAGACGGUAUGGCAAGUCUGAAGUGAAAGCCCAGGGCUUAACCCUGGGACUGCUUUGGAAACUGUUAGACUAGAGUGCUGGAGAGGUAAGCGGAAUUCCUAGUGUAGCGGUGAAAUGCGUAGAUAUUAGGAGGAACACCAGUGGCGAAGGCGGCUUACUGGACAGUAACUGACGUUGAGGCUCGAAAGCGUGGGGAGCAAACAGG